AUAAAUUUUGUUGUGAUUUGAAAUUGAAUAUAUUAUUUAUUCUUAUUACUAAAUGUAAUUAUAUAAUUAUCUUGGAAAAUCUUUUUUUGAAUAAAAUAUUUUUUUUAAUAAUUCUUCACUGUCAUUCCAAUUGAAGUGUUCCUCAAAUAUUGAUUCAAUACAUUACCUCGGGCUAACCAAUUCAUUUGAUUAAGUUCCUCA